rnacentral:rRNA from 1 species
AGAGUUCGAUUCUGGCUCAGGACGAACGCUGGCGGUGCGCCUUAUGCAUGCAAGUCGAGCGAAGCUUUUCAGUAGUUUACUACAGAAAAUGACUGAGCGGCGAACGGGUGAGUAACGCGUGAGCAAUCUACCUUAGUUACAGGGAUAGCCCGAGGAAACUCGGAUUAAUACCUGAUAUUCUUUAUUUCUCGCAUGAGAACAAAAGGAAAGGUCAGCCGAACUAAGAUGAGCUCGCGUUCUAUCAGCUAGUUGGUGAGGUAAAAGCUUACCAAGGCUACGACGGAUAGCUGGUCUGAGAGGACGAUCAGCCACACUGGGACUGAGACACGGCCCAGACUCCUACGGGAGGCUGCAGCAGGGAAUAUUGUGCAAUGAACGAAAGUUUGACACAGCGACACCGCGUGUGGGAUGACGGAUCUAGGUUUGUAAACCACUUUCAGGAGGGAAGAAAAUGACGGUACCUCCACAAGAAGCCCCGGCCAACUACGUGCCAGCCGCCGCGGUAAUUC